rnacentral:rRNA from 1 species
GGGACGAACGCUGGCGGCGUGCUUAACACAUGCAAGUCGAGCGGAAAGGCCUUUCGGGGUACUCGAGCGGCGAACGGGUGAGUAACACGUGAGUAAUCUGCCCAUCGCUUCAGGAUAGCCAUCGGAAACGGUGAUUAAUACUGGAUAUGACAUUCCUUCGCAUGUUGGGGUGUGGAAAGUUUUUUCGGCGGUGGAUGUGCUCGCGGCCUAUCAGCUUGUUGGUGGGGUAAUGGCCUACCAAGGCUUUGACGGGUAGCCGGCCUGAGAGGGUGACCGGCCACACUGGGACUGAGACACGGCCCAGACUCCUACGGGAGGCAGCAGUGGGGGAAUAGUUGGACAAGUGGGCGGAAGCCUGAUCCAGCAACGCCGCGUGAGGGAUGACGGCCUUCGGUUGUAACCUCUUCAGCACAGACGAAGUUUUGUCUUUUGGUGUAAGUGACGGUAUGUGCAGAAGAAGACCGGCAACGUACGUGACCGAGCGACGCCGACGUACUCGUGAGGCGGCGUGACG